ensembl:rRNA 5S_rRNA 5S ribosomal RNA
GUCUACAACCAUACUUCCUGGUAUGAAGCCUGAUCUCGUCUGUCCUGGGAAGCUAAGCAGGGUUGGUCCUGGUUAGUACUUGGAUGGGAGAGGAAAGAGAAAUAAUAAUGUUAAGCA